UGUCCAGUAACUCCUAUCCCUACCUCCCUGUGGUGCCGCCAGGGGUACGAGUAACCGUAGGGAAAAUCGGGACAGGGAAGG
rnacentral:ribozyme from 1 species